ACAGAUGAACACAAAAACAACAUUCAGCAGAGUUAAAAUGUCGGAUUAUAAACUACGACAGUGGACUGAGGUUACUUAUGAAAGUGUGAGCAGGACUGAGAUUCAGGGAAUAAAGAUGGACAAAAUGAAGUUGAUGCUGGAGAUCUGUCACGAUGUAAGAGAUCAAGACUUCAGGACCGACUCCAAUACAACCAGACACCAACCACUGCAGUGUACAGAUUCUGUGAGAGAUCACGACUUCAAGACAGAAACAAACACACACCAACAACUUCAGCAUACAGUUACAGUUUGUUUGGCGCUGCUGUGUGUUCUUCUACUGACUGCAGUCAUAGUGCUGUGUGUCCUCAUCAAUACAAACAAUCACCAGUUUAACAUCAAGACCAAAAACAUCACAGAAGAGAGAGACCAGCUACUAACCAAAUAUACCAACAUCACUGAAGAGAGAUACCAGCUACUAACCAAAUAUACCAACAUCACUGAAGAGAGAUACCAGCUACUAACCAAAUAUACCAACAUCACAGAAGAGAGAGAUGAUGUAAUAGCCAAGUAUAAUAAUAUUAUUAAACAAAAUGAGCAGCUGAAGAAGAAAAAUACACUUUGGACACUUUAUGAUGGAUGGACUUAUUAUCAAUCCAGUUUUUACUUCAUUUCAUCUGAGAAGAAUAACUGGAGUGAGAGCAGAAGAUACUGUAGAGAGAGAGGAGCAGAUCUGA